GAAAAAAAAAAAAAAAAAAAAAAAAAAAAAAAAAAAAAA
rnacentral:ribozyme from 1 species